GACGAACGCUGGCGGCGUGCUUAACACAUGCAAGUCGAACGGAAAGGCCCUGCUUUUGUGGGGUGCUCGAGUGGCGAACGGGUGAGUAACACGUGAGUAACCUGCCCUUGACUUUGGGAUAACUUCAGGAAACUGGGGCUAAUACCGGAUAGGAGCUCCUGCUGCAUGGUGGGGGUUGGAAAGUUUCGGCGGUUGGGGAUGGACUCGCGGCUUAUCAGCUUGUUGGUGGGGUAGUGGCUUACCAAGGCUUUGACGGGUAGCCGGCCUGAGAGGGUGACCGGCGACAUUGGGACUGAGAGACGGACCAGACUCGAACGGGAGACAGCAGGGGGGAAUAUUGCACAAUGAGCGGAAGCCUGUGGCAGCAACGCCGGGUGCGGGAUGACGGACAUCGGGGUGGAAACCGCUUUAGGCUGUGACGAAGCGUGAGUGACGGUAAUAAGUAAAGAAGCACCGGCUAACUACAUG
rnacentral:rRNA from 1 species